rnacentral:rRNA from 1 species
AUUGAACGCUGGCGGCAGGCCUAACACAUGCAAGUCGAGCGGAUGAAGGGAGCUUGCUCCUGGAUUCAGCGGCGGACGGGUGAGUAAUGCCUAGGAAUCUGCCUGGUAGUGGGGGAUAACGUCCGGAAACGGGCGCUAAUACCGCAUACGCCCUGAGGGAGAAAGUGGGGGAUCUUCGGACCUCACGCUAUCAGAUGAGCCUAGGUCGAAUUAGCUAGUUGGUGGGGUAAAGGCCUACCAAGGCGACGAUCCGUAACUGGUCUGAGAGGAUGAUCAGUCACACUGGAACUGAGACACGGUCCAGACUCCUACGGGAGGCAGCAGUGGGGAAUAUUGGACAAUGGGCGAAAGCCUGAUCCAGCCAUGCCGCGUGUGUGAAGAAGGUCUUCGGAUUGUAAAGCACUUUAAGUUGGGAGGAAGGGCAGUAAGUUAAUACCUUGCUGUUUUGACGGUACCAACAGAAUAAGCACCGGCUAACUUCGUG